CUCCACAGCUCUGUCUGGGUUGUUGAAGCUCGCUCUCAAAGCUGCUACCACCUGCUCCCUCUCGUAGCCCAUGAGCAUCAUCUCGUUUACCAUGGCGUCAUUAUGAUGGCCCCUUACCUAGAUUUGAAACGGCCUCAUUAAUCAGGUUAGUGUUGGUUGAAGCCUCCGAGCUUCUGCAAGAGAAAACAGAGCUUGGGUGAGGCGUGAUCUGCACGUCACUUCUCA